GGCUGCUAUAAACACCUACACUCUCCUCUGCUAGCCGCAGGGUAAACAAAGUUAGUAGCUCCGGGUGAAAGACCUAAGAUCACAUUGGGUUAUUUGUUACUCACAUUGUGCUGAAGUCAUGGAUUCAAUGGCAACAAAUAAUUCAAAUUUCUUUCAUACACUGACUGUUACUGCUGCUGUGGGGGAGUGCAAUGAGGAAGAGAGAUAUUUUGAACUCGCUGACAGGCUGUUGACACCACCUGGAAGCUCCGCCCCCUUCCCCCAAUGUCAUGUGCUCUCGACUGGAUUUGUGGGGAACUUCCGCUUCCUGUCAUGGUCUCUUAGGAAGGAGCUGGUGUAGCACUGAUUGUUCUUCAUUGAAGGCAGUUCAUUUUGAGGAAAGACUGGCCGACUUCUGGGGCAUCCAUAACUAUCAGAGGGUCACCUGCUUGGUUUGCUGGUUUCUGAUGAGUCUCAUUGGGCUCUGUGCCUUGCGUUGGUAUAGUUUCUAUUUCCAUCAUCAAGGUAAUUGGCAAAACUCCUGGGAUACUAGUUAACUGGUUGGAUUGAUUUAAAAUGUUCUCAUUUUGUCUUCUACAACUCUCACCUGAUGUUGAGCUGCAGCCAUAGGUCUUCUGCCUUUUGAAAUUGCAGACUGUAAAUCAGGUGGCAUGUCCACUCAUGGUACUUGGCAAGAGGAGCAAGCUGGCUGACUUGGGCUGCUAGAACCUGAAUACAUGUGGAUAAUUGAACCAAGUUGACCAAAACUGCAUUGCAUGGAUUGACAAACAGGGGUGCUAGUCAGAGGUUCUGGGGAAAAAAAUUUAACUAGCAUAUAGAACAUAGGAAAGGGAAAUUAUAGCCCCUUUGGUCAGUAAGGUAAACUCCAUCUUAGUAUAGUAAACUUUAGAAAGCACCACAGGUGGUCCGACCAGCAUUGUUUAAUCACAACAUAGAUAUUCUUCAUGUAAACCAUACCCUUUAAAGACACUUUGUGAGCAACAGCAUUUUCUAGCUGGAAAUGAUUGGUUUCAGACUCCCUUAUUACAACCUUGUAGUCAUAUGGGUAAAAAUAUGGUCUCCUUUCUACAACAAUAUGUUGAGGAAAGAAAUUACCAGCACUAAAAUAAGCUUGGAGAAACUAAAGAUUUUUGCUGUAGUGUGGCACACAAGUUCUUAAAAUUGUCACUUUGCUUGCAUUUCCUUGCAUGAGCAGCCUAAGACAAACAAUAAGCCUUUGUUAAUGACAAAUGUAGUGGUGCUUUAGCAUUAGUGGGCAAACUGGAAAGAGGACCAUUUGAGACUGUAAAUACUCAUCUAUUAGGACUGACAUAUGCUAUGUGACCCAUUGAGAUGGCAGGCACACAGAUAACCACCACUAUUCUCCAAGUUGGAGAAACAGCUGCCACACUUCUUGUCACACUUCAUUGGAAUCUUAAUCUUUUCACCCAACAAAAUAGCAAUAGCCUAGGCAGACACCAGUUCUGAGCAGCAUGACUACCUAAUUUAUCACUUCUUGGAUAAAAUGUUUGUCAUUUGCAUAAUUACCAAAAUAUUUUAGCUGAACAAUGUGGCGAUUCAGUUCUACAUAUGUGAACUGUUUCUCUUUUGACACAAGGUGUUUCAUAAACAAAGCAAGGUCAAAGGAGACAAUGCCCUCAAAAAGGUCAUCAGUCAUGGACAUAAUCCUGACUUUCAAACAUGGAAGCCAAUGAUUCAUCUUUGAGUAAGUCUUUUUUUUUUUUGAAAAGUUCCUACCAUCUCAAAUAUCUUCUAAAACAUCUUAUUUUGGAAUGCAAGCUGAAUGUGUCUAUUCAUGCUGCUCACUAACUGAAUCACAAUUAAAAAGUGACUGUAAUGUUUGUGUAAUGGGAACAUACUGAGCAAAGCACUCUUUCCCUCAAUUGUUUUGGCCUAGAAAUAUGGGCACUGGCUGCAUUUAUAUUGCAAUGCUUGAGAAGAUAUUCUGUAUUCAGCACAUCCAUAACUCUCUUAAUGUCUCUCUCUUAAUGGAAAUUCAAGAGUAGUUAAUUUUUCGCUCAGUUUGUAAAGCAGGUGCAAUUGGCUCAUGUCAUUUAUAUCUUGGAAGCCUUCAAUUAUAGUUUUAAUAGUUGUAGCUGGAAGAAGUAAUUCUGAUUGCAAUUUCAGGUAAAACAGAUCAAGUCUGUCUAAAAAAAUACAGAUUAAUCUGCAUUAUCUGGAAAAACACCAGCUUGUUUCCCACCUAAUAAGCCACAGUCUGUAAAAUAUUCAGACUGCCUGCAAGAGUCUACAUUUACCUCAGAUAAAGUUUCUGGAGGUGAAACAGGCUGUUCUAGUUUUAGAGAACUAUGAGAACUAAUUCUUUCCAAUGGCCAUUUCCUGUGUUUCCUGGACAAAUGUGAUGGAAAUGUUGAAAUUACUGAAAAUUUCUUUGUCCAAUAGGACAAGAUAUUGUUGUACCUUCAUUAAUAAAAGAUUUUAAAUGUGAAAAAA